GAUGAACGCUGGCGGCGUGCUUAACACAUGCAAGUCGAACGGAAAGGCCCAAGCUUGCUUGGGUACUCGAGUGGCGAACGGGUGAGUAACACGUGGGUGAUCUGCCCUGCACUUCGGGAUAAGCCCGGGAAACUGGGUCUAAUACCGGAUAGGACCACAUUUUGGAUGGUGUGGUGGAAAGUUUUUCGGUGUGGGAUGAGCUCGCGACCUAUCAGCUUGUUGGUGGGGUAAUGGCCUACCAAGGCGUCGACGGGUAGCCGGCCUGAGAGGGUGUACGGCCACAUUGGGACUGAGAUACGGCCCAGACUCCUACGGGAGGCAGCAGUGGGGAAUAUUGCACAAUGGGCGCAAGCCUGAUGCAGCGACGCCGCGUGGGGGAGGACGGCCUUCGGGUUGUAAACUCCUUUCGCUAGGGACGAAGCGUUAUGUGACGGUACCUGGAGAAGAAGCACCGGCUAACUACGUG
rnacentral:rRNA from 1 species